UAUGAUGAACUGUCAGCUACUUUCUUAGAAAUGAAAGGACAUUUCUACAUGCAUGCAGGUUCUCUGCUCUUGAAGAUGGGUCAGCAUGGUAAUAAUGUUCAAUGGCGAGCUCUUUCUGAGCUGGCUGCAUUGUGCUAUCUCAUAGCAUUUCAGGGCACAUGUUGCUAAACUUAAGUCGUGGCAAGCAAGAUUUUUUAAAAGAGGUUGUUGAAACUUUUGCCAACAAAAGCGGGCAGUCUGCAUUAUAUGAUGCUCUGUUUUCUAGUCAGUCACCUAAGGAUACAUCUUUUCUUGGUAGCGAUGAUAUUGGAAACAUUGAUGUACGAGAACCAGAGCUUGAAGAUUUGGCUAGAUACGAUGUUGGUA
rnacentral:lncRNA from 1 species